AGGUGACUAGUUUAAGCAAAAUCUUUGAUUUCGGCUCAAAAGCUUGUGGUUAGAGUCCACAGACACCUA
rnacentral:tRNA from 1 species